rnacentral:piRNA from 1 species
UAUCAGUGUGAAGUUGAAACUGAGCGUGA